rnacentral:rRNA from 1 species
UGGGGAAUAUUGCACAAUGGGCGCAAGCCUGAUGCAGCCAUGCCGCGUGUGUGAAGAAGGCCUUCGGGUUGUAAAGCACUUUCAGCGAGGAGGAAGGGUAGUGUGUUAAUAGCACAUUGCAUUGACGUUACUCGCAGAAGAAGCACCGGCUAACUCCGUGCCAGCAGCCGCGGUAAUACGGAGGGUGCAAGCGUUAAUCGGAAUUACUGGGCGUAAAGCGCACGCAGGCGGUUUGUUAAGUCAGAUGUGAAAUCCCCGCGCUUAACGUGGGAACUGCAUUUGAAACUGGCAAGCUAGAGUCUUGUAGAGGGGGGUAGAAUUCCAGGUGUAGCGGUGAAAUGCGUAGAGAUCUGGAGGAAUACCGGUGGCGAAGGCGGCCCCCUGGACAAAGACUGACGCUCAGGUGCGAAAGCGUGGGGAGCAAAACAGGAUUAGAUACCCUGGUAGUCCACGCUGUAAACGAUGUCGACUUGGAGGUUGUGCCCUUGAGGCGUGGCUUCCGGAGCUAACGCGUUAAGUCGACC